rnacentral:lncRNA from 1 species
ACCCCUAGCCUGGGAACCUCCAUGUGCCACAGGUGUGGCCCUAGAAAAGACAAAAAUAAAUAAAAAUUUUAAAAUACAUAUAUAUCACUAAGCCAUUAUGAUUCUGUUAAAGUGUAGCGCUUACACAGCAUUUAACAGAUGGAUCAAAUCAUAAACGUAUAGUAGCAGAUGCAUGUUUUAUAAAACUCCUAUGUAACAAAGGCAGGAGUAUGUUGUACUGGUGGAGAUUACUAAAAGCCACCAUUGGAACCGAAUAAGCUUAAUGAAAUGAAAAUAGAGAUUCUAAUGCUAUAGUCUCCUUUAAAAUGAACACGCAGGUUGCUGGGGACAGCACCGCCCACUCUACCACACAGUCACCCACCACCCACUGCAGCCUGGAGCUGGCCAGGUCACAGCUGGACAGGUCAGAGCCACACUCUGGAAUAUGAACAGAGGGACGCUGUGCCCCCCGUCAGCAGUGGGAGCCUGAGCAAGAAGGUCAUGACAAAGAGGGGCCAGAGUGGCCACCGGGCGCCGUGUGCAGAGCAAGAAGCAGGUGGAGUGAGUGGGGGCCUCAGAAUCCUGGAUUAGAUAGGCCUCCUCCAGUGUAUCUGCAUUUACUUAGGCAUGGUAUACGUUUGGCAAGCGGUUGUCAGGGAUGGCAUAUAGAGAAAAAGAAAUCUGAAAGGAUGAAAUAGCAAAUAAAUGGUAUCAUUAGCCCAGGUGAUGGAUGCAUGGGUCUUUUAAACUGAAGACAUAUUUUAUACAUCUUAUGUAUGUUCUCCUUUCCUAUAAAAAUCUAAAAUGUAUAUGCACGUAAGUAGAAAGGCUAAUAUUUUCUCCCCACCCUCCAGUGUUGUGUGUGCUCCGGAGUUUGCGGAGACCCGUGCUUUAGCGUCCCGGGCAUCCUCAGUUUCGAUCUACCCUACAUCCUCUCUUGCAGUACCCACCACUCCAUCCCACCACCUUUCUCUGGAGGUUCUGAAUGAGCUUCUGUUUAAUCCGUAAAGGACGGAUUAAAAUAGUAGAAAAAGCUUUUGUAAACAUGACACUAAAGGCAGAAAGCAUAGAGCAAGUCAUUGCUAGACUUGAUCAAAGUCGUAUAUAACGGAGUUACUAUGCCUGAUGAGGAAUGUUUACAAAUCCGUGAGGAAAUAGAGGAUGAGCACCGCGAAAGGUAGGGCUGAGCAAAGGACAUACGGAUUUCAGAAAAGAACAUCAGCUAGUAGCCAUACACACACAGCAGGGCUAGUGAUCAAAUAAUGCAAACUAAAACAGUGGGAUUUUUGCCUUUUGGGUUGAUAAACAUGCUUCAGAAGGUUACCCACUAAGGAGGAGGGUCUGGAGAAACAGAGCUUCACAUGAGAGCUGGUGGAACAUAAAGUGUGGCGGCCUUUCUGGAUGGCAGUUUGUCAACACAGAGCAAGGUUCCUCUUCCAUCUUUGUACAUUUUAUCCACGAAAAGACUCAUAGGUUUGCGCAGAGAGUUCUUCAUUGUUUUUGUAGUAAUAACAGAAAUAGUAGAUAAUAGAAAGCAACCCACUCACCCAGCUAUAGGGGAUCCUUAAGACACCCAACUGUGGGAAUAAAAAACCAUGGUAUAUUUCCAAAUAGCAUGAAAAUGGAGCAGCUGAUUGCAUGUUUAAUGAUAUGGAAAGUUAUCCAUAUAUAUAAGUGAAUAAAUAAGCCGUAAACAUUUGAUCCUAUUUUUUGUAUAAAUACAACAAAAAUACCAGAAUCUUAAUAAUGAUGAUUAUUUUCUAACUUUUGUGGAUUAUUUUCUAAAUAUGCCUAAAAGAAUACAUGUUUUAUAAUAAAGAGUCAUUUUUAGGAGUUCCCUUCGUGGCGCAUUUGUUAACGAAUCCGACUAGGAACCAUGAGGUUGCGGGUUUGGUCCCUGCCCUUGCUCAGUGGGUUAACGAUCCGGCGUUGCCAUGGGCUGUGGUGUAGAUUGCAGACGCGGCUCGGAUCCCACGUUGCUGUAGCUCUGGCGUAGGCCAGAGGCUACAGCUCCAAUCUGACCCCUAGCCUGGGAAUGUCCAUAUACCGUGGGAGCAGCCCAAGAAAUAGCAAAAAGACCAAAAAAAAAAGUCAUUUUUAGGGAAAACAAUCCUAGCAUCAGGAAGACAAAUAGUUUAUCCCCACAUCAAUUUUGAUCAAACAGCAGUUGCUUCCUGGACUAGAAGAGGGCAAAACUGUGACCAGUCUCCCGGGGUGUGUGCCCUCCUCCACCGACAGCUUCUCCCAGGAUCUGGGAAUAGGCAGUAGCUGCCCCGGUCUGGCGCCUCCAGCCAGGACGUGGAGAUGCUGGGUUUAUUGCUGCUGCCUUGUGGGAGAGACGUGGCCAGACUCAAGCUCCAGAUUCCUGCCUGGGCAAGUCCAGGAGGAAAGGCUCUUGGUAACGUACUGUGCUGGACGUUCACCCUGCACCUGGUGCGUGAAGGACACCCAGCCGCCUCCCAACCCCUAUAUGUGCUUGGAGGAUAAAGCCUGCUUUCAUCCAAGUGGGUCUCUCUGGUGCCUUAAAUCACAGAGGAUAGUCGAGCUGAAGAGGAUGUAAGGGAUCAUUUGGUUCAACUCCUUUUUAAAAACAAACAAACAAAAAAAAACCAGAAGGAAACCGAGGCCCAAAUAUUUGAGACCUUUUCACUUGUACAAGGGAAAUGUUCUUUCUCCCAAAGGGUGUUGUUAGGGGCCUGUUGAAGCAGUAGGACAGCUUUGUGCACCAGACUCAGAGCAAGGGAACCACGGUCUUCCCACUUCGCUCUUAACACUGGCCAGUGUUCCUCACUGAGUCACAGUUUCCACAUCAAUUAAGUGGGAUAAUUCCACCUGCUCUGCCAGCCCCCUGGGAUUUUUGUAAGGCUCACAUGAGGUAAGGAGCAAAUAAAACACUUGCAAUGUACGCAAGAGGUUACUAAAAUCUCUGAUAAAUGAAAGUUCUCAAAAUAGAAAAAGAUUAACAUCCCUAGAGAAAAAAGACAAAGGACACAAAGGCUAUUCAUAGAACAACAAAUAACCAGUAGCAACAAGAUGAGGUUCAGCCUCCCUCAUAAUAAAAGCAAAUAAGGGAGUUCCUGCUAUGAUGC